rnacentral:rRNA from 1 species
AUUGAACGCUGGCGGCAUGCUUUACACAUGCAAGUCGAACGGUAACAGGCCGCAAGGCGCUGACGAGUGGCGAACGGGUGAGUAAUGCAUCGGAACGUGCCCAGUCGUGGGGGAUAACGCAGCGAAAGCUGUGCUAAUACCGCAUACGAUCUGUGGAUGAAAGCGGGGGACCGUAAGGCCUCGCGCGGUUGGAGCGGCCGAUGUCAGAUUAGGUAGUUGGUGGGGUAAAGGCUCACCAAGCCGACGAUCUGUAGCUGGUCUGAGAGGACGACCAGCCACACUGGGACUGAGACACGGCCCAGACUCCUACGGGAGGCAGCAGUGGGGAAUUUUGGACAAUGGGCGCAAGCCUGAUCCAGCAAUGCCGCGUGCAGGAAGAAGGCCUUCGGGUUGUAAACUGCUUUUGUACGGAGCGAAAAGGCUCUCUCUAAUACAGGGGGCUCAUGACGGUACCGUAAGAAUAAGCACCGGCUAACUACGUGCCAGCCGCCGCCGUAACAC